rnacentral:rRNA from 1 species
AGUGAACGCUGGCGGCAGGCCUAACACAUGCAAGUCGAGCGGCAGCGCGUCCGACCACCCUCGGGUGGUCGGAUGGCGGCGAGCGGCGGACGGGUGAGGAAUGCAUCGGAAUCUGCCUCGUUGUGGGGGAUAACGUAGGGAAACUUACGCUAAUACCGCAUACGACCUACGGGUGAAAGUGGGGGACCUUCGGGCCUCACGCGAUGAGAUGAGCUGAUGCCGGAUUAGCUAGUUGGCGGGGUAAAGGCCCACCAAGGCGACGAUCCGUAGCUGGUCUGAGAGGAUGAUCAGCCACACUGGAACUGAGACACGGUCCAGACUCCUACGGGAGGCAGCAGUAGGGAAUAUUGGACAAUGGGGGCAACCCUGAUCCAGCCAUGCCGCGUGAGUGAAGAAGGCCCUCGGGUUGUAAAGCUCUUUUGUCCGGAAAGAAAAGCAUCUGGUUAAUACCCGGGUGUUCUGACGGUACCGGAAGAAUAAGCACCGGCUAACUUCGUGCCAGCA